rnacentral:rRNA from 1 species
GGGCUCGCAGGCGGUUUCUUAAGUCUGAUGUGAAAGCCCCCGGCUCAACCGGGGAGGGUCAUUGGAAACUGGGGAACUUGAGUGCAGAAGAGGAGAGUGGAAUUCCACGUGUAGCGGUGAAAUGCGUAGAGAUGUGGAGGAACACCAGUGGCGAAGGCGACUCUCUGGUCUGUAACUGACGCUGAGGAGCGAAAGCGUGGGGAGCGAACAGGAUUAGAUACCCUGGUAGUCCACGCCGUAAACGAUGAGUGCUAAGUGUUAGGGGGUUUCCGCCCCUUAGUGCUGCAGCUAACGCAUUAAGCACUCCGCCUGGGGAGUACGGUCGCAAGACUGAAACUCAAAGGAAUUGACGGGGGCCCGCACAAGCGGUGGAGCAUGUGGUUUAUUUCGAAGCAACGCGAAGAACCUUACCAGGUCUUGACAUCCUGGGAGGAUCCUAGAGAUAGGACGUCCCCUUCGGGGGCAGAGUGACAGGUGGUGCAUGGUUGUCGUCAGCUCGUGUCGUGAGAUGUUGGGUUAAGUCCC